GCGCGAAACCUCUACAAUGCACGAAAGUGUGAUAGGGGAAUCCCAAGUGCUCAAGCACUGCUUGGGCUUUUGCCAUGUGUAAAUAGCAUGGCGAAUAAGUGGUGGGUAAGACCGGUGCCAGCCGCCGCGGUAACACCGGCGCCACAAGUGGCAAUCGCGUUUAUUGGGCCUAAAGCGUCCGUAGCAGGUUUUGUAAAUUUCUUGUGAAACUGCCAGGCUUAACUUGGCAAUGUGCAGGAAACACUGCAAGACUUGAGACCGGGAAGGGUCAGAGGUAUUCCUGAGGGAGCGGUAAAAUGCUAUAAUCUCAGGAGGACCACCGGUGGCGAAGGCGUCUGACUAGAACGGAUCUGACUGUGAGGGACGAAAGCUAGGGGAGCAAACCGG
rnacentral:rRNA from 1 species